rnacentral:rRNA from 1 species
UGGGGAAUCUUGCGCAAUGGGCGAAAGCCUGACGCAGCGACGCCGCGUGCGGGAAGAAGGCCUUAGGGUUGUAAACCGCUUUCAGGAGGGACGAAGCCACUCGGGUGAAUAGCCCAGAGGGUGACGGUACCUCCAGAAGAAGCCCCGGCUAACUACGUGCCAGCAGCCGCGGUAAUACGUAGGGGGCAAGCGUUGUCCGGAUUCAUUGGGCGUAAAGAGCGUGUAGGCGGCCAGGUAGGUCGGUUGUGAAAACUGGAGGCUCAACCUUCAGAGGUCGACCGAAACCAUCUGGCUAGAGUCCGGGAGAGGAGAGUGGAAUUCCUGGUGUAGCGGUGAAAUGCGCAGAUAUCAGGAAGAACACCCGUGGCGAAAGCGGCUCUCUGGAACGGUACUGACGCUGAGACGCGAAAGCGUGGGGAGCCAACAGG